rnacentral:rRNA from 1 species
AUUGAACGCUGGCGGCAUGCCUUACACAUGCAAGUCGAACGGUAACGGGCCUUCGGGUGCCGACGAGUGGCGAACGGGUGAGUAAUACAUCGGAACGUGCCCGAUCGUGGGGGAUAACGAGGCGAAAGCUUUGCUAAUACCGCAUACGAUCUACGGAUGAAAGCAGGGGACCGCAAGGCCUUGCGCGGACGGAGCGACCGAUGGCAGAUUAGGUAGUUGGUGGGAUAAAAGCUUACCAAGCCGACGAUCUGUAGCUGGUCUGAGAGGAUGAUCAGCCACACUGGGACUGAGACACGGCCCAGACUCCUACGGGAGGCAGCAGUGGGGAAUUUUGGACAAUGGGCGCAAGCCUGAUCCAGCCAUGCCGCGUGCAGGAUGAAGGCCUUCGGGUUGUAAACUGCUUUUGUACGGAACGAAAAGCCUUCUUUUAAUACAGGAGGGUCAUGACGGUACCGUAAGAAUAAGCACCGGCUAACUACGUG